rnacentral:sRNA from 1 species
UGCAGACGUGGAAAUGUUGGCAUGUGGAUAGACCCUGUACCAAAAACCCAGCAGAAGAUUCAGAGUCCCUGAGAUGCUUCCUCAUCUUCUUCGCCAAGCACCUCUUGUCACUGAUCUUGGAAGUUAGAGGUGGGAAAAGGCAGCCCCAGCCCUGAGAUUGCUCCAGCCUGUUCUUCACCUGCAGUGCCAGGUGUCCUGGGGAAGUGUCGCUACGUUUACUAUGGGAAAAACUCAGAGGGCAACAGGUUUAUCCGAGAUGACCAGCUCUGAAGCCAACUUCUGUAUACCUUCACCCAUUUCAUGAAAAUAAAAUCAAAAGGGAAAUCAAAAAUAA